rnacentral:rRNA from 1 species
AGAGUUUGAUCAUGGCUCAGAUUGAACGCUGGCGGCAGGCCUAACACAUGCAAGUCGAACGGUAACAAGAAGAAGCUUGCUUCUUUGCUGACGAGUGGCGGACGGGUGAGUAAUGUCUGGGAAACUGCCUGAUGAGGGGGAUAACUACUGGAAACGGUAGCUAAUACCGCAUAAC